rnacentral:tRNA from 1 species
GGGCCCGUAGCUCAGCGGUUAGAGCAGGUCACUCAUAAUGACUUGGUCCCUGGUUCGAAUCCAGGCGGGCCCA